rnacentral:rRNA from 1 species
CCCUUAGAUGUUCUGGGCUGCACACGUGCUACACUGGCAGGUUCAGCGAGCUUCAUGCCCUGAUCUGAAAGGAAUGGGAAAUCUUUUCAAAACCUGCCGUGCUUGGGAUAGAUGUUUGCAAUUAUUCAUCUUCAACGAGGAUUGCCUUGUAAGCGCACGUCAUCAGCGUGCAUUGAAUACGUCCCUGCCCUUUGUACACACCGCCAGUCGCUCCUACCGAUUGAGUGGUCCGGUGAGGCUUUGGGAUCUGAGCGGAAAGAGCGUUUCGCUGUUUCUGCUCGGAAAACUCAGUCGAACCUUAUCAUUUAGAGGAAGGAGAAGUCGUAACA